GCUGGUGGAGGAAUGAUUUAACCAAAUUUUAAAAGCUGAAUGUUUGAGAAGAACGUGCAUACUUCUAGAUGGCAAACACAAAGCAGCGGAGCAAAUCUGUAUGGUAGCAUUUCAAACAAAGCUACUUCAAAAAAAAGCUUCCAGGAGCACUGCAAAAACAAGAAAUGCUAAACUGACAGGGUAAAAGUGUUGUGUUGCAUUUCACAUUAUUUUUCUUUCUUUUUUUUUUUUUGUAUCUGUGAUUCGUACAAUAGAUGAAACCGACCCAGUCCACCAGACAUCCAGAGCAUCUCCAAUUAGUUUCUGACAUGUUUGUUGUUCAACGGGCAAACUAUUCAUUAACGAUGUCCAACAAUGUCCAUAUAAACAUGGCUGUUGGAUCUAAACUCUCCAUACUGCUGGUGACAAAUCAGCACAUGGGAGUAGUGCAUCUUUUCAUAGACUACUUCACUUGAUUGAACAACAUUUUAGACUCAGGUAAGUAAAUAUGUGAGACUGUCACAAAGCAUCACAGAGGUUCAAUUUUAUAAGCAGGACAUUUGCAAAAUGCCUAUCUGCUUCUCAGAUAGGCAUAGCUGAUUGGUCGGAAUUACUAAAUCUGAUAAGGAAAACAGAUAACCGACACAGACAAUAACACCAGGCGGAAAUUCUAGUUCAAAGACAAAUACAUUAUGUCUGAGGGUGUGGCAGGUAAGGUUGCAUGGGAUCAAUGUUCUCGAUCCCAUGAAGAAGAUGACACCAAAUAUGUAACAACAAACCUUUGUUAAUGACAUUGCUCAGGUUAGGACAUUGAAAUGCUCAAAGAAAUACAGUUUAGGCACAACAAGACAGGACAAGAUGGCAGUAACUGCUGCAAAACACCAAAACAAACAACCAAAACUAAUCGUUUGGUUUUGGCUAACUCAAAUACAGGAUUUUUUUUUUUUUUUUUUUGGUAAAGCCUAGGAGUUGGGCGGAGCCUGAAUCCUGGCAGUCAAUCCAGUAUGUAAUUGGAAUUGUGAAGCAAAAGUCACAAACAAAUCGUUUUGUUCAGGUAACAACAGAGGAAAAGCCCUACACCGUUUACAUUAACAAGCUUUAAACAUAUAACAAUACAAUUGCACCUCGAAUGAUCAUAACCAGAAAAAAAA